GAAUGAGAGCCCCACAUGGUGCCCACUGGGCGCCCUCCCCCCCAGAGGGGGCCCCAGGAGACAGGACCCUUCCUCUCAGGCAAAGCCGCCCACGAGCUGCUUGGAUUUCCACGAUCACUUUUGCUGUCUCUCUGGAUCGUUUACAAAUUUUUUGCAGUUGUGUUUGGUCACACGUGAAGAAAUUUUUCAAGCAUUUUGAAUUCGGUAAAAAUCCAGAAGAAACGUUGCCAAAUCUGUUCCCUUCUUGCAUUUUAAGCCCAUAUACAUUUAAAGGGAUAUUCAAUCCUUUUGUUUUUGAACUGGUUACCCAUACCCCCAUUAAAGCGUUGUCUUUUAAAAGCUGUUUGCUAUUCAAGGAGUCUUGGGAGCCCAUUUAAAAUCCUUUUUAAAUCCUUCUUCUCUGAAACAGGAAGCUGCAUUUUGCCCAGAGUAAACACUCUGACCUGAGUGCAAGCUCAGGUGUGUGAAUCCCCAGGGGAAACCUUGAUCAAGGCAGUCAGCAUCAGAAAGCAAUAAAAGGAAAAUUAGAGGCUUAAAUGCCACAAGGAACUUGUUUGUCUUCGAUGACCAGAGAAGACGCCGGUUUCUCAGCAUCUCGGGAGCUCCCGGGGCGGGCGGGCCGGAAGGCUGGCCUGUGGCUCCUUGCCCGGCUGCCUGGACUGCAGCCAGCCGGACUGUAUGCGGCCCCAGUGACCAUCUGGACUGUCUCACCCCUCACACUUCAUGUCGCCUGUCACGGGCUCUUAGGGGGCACAUGCCACCCAGGCCGGAAAAAGCGUGGUGAGCUCCCCUUUCUCUCGCUGCUUCCUGCCUCUUCAUGCAGACGCGGACUUGAGGAAACCAACGGACGCAAGAACAAGCACUCAGCGGACGACCUCAGACGGCAGCAGUGCGUUCCUCCUCCCGCGAUUCUGGAGCUGGCCACCCGGCCUCCUCCUGCCCAGACCAACGACAGGACCUAGAGACAGAGGCAACCCAAGGCAGCAACUGUCAGCAGAACAACAAGGAGUCAGCUUUGGAGUGAGCCGCCCUCAUGUGGACACGUGAUAAAGGAGCCAAAAUGGACCCGCCAGCUGGUGAUCGGGGGCCUCCCAGGCAAGCAGCAUGGGCAGCCCCCUGCCCCACACCCCUGCCCUACAAGCUGGGGUGCAGAGUCUCCAUCCUGGGAAUUCCAACAGAGCAGAGAGCCUCUGCAGAGGCCAUCAAAACCAAAACACUCCUCUGCCCUUCCCAAGGACCCCAGGCUCUGCUCCACUUGGAAGCACCACUUCUUGUAAAAGACAAAACCAAGAGUUUCACGGCUGCACAAACUCUUCACCGACUCUUGACCAGGCCCAGUACUUGAGGUCCUUCCAGAUCCAGCUCCAGCCCAUGGCCGCCUGUGUUACCAGCAGGAAGCCCCCAGCCCAGACCCUCUCCUGAGACGUCCUCCUCUCUCCCUCCCAGACGUGAUGCUCCAGUCUCCUCGCUGCUUUGGUAACUGAGGACCGCCACUGGGGCUCGUCUCAGGGCAGUUCUCUCACCAUCGGUAGGGACGGAGUCGACUCAGGCUCCUCGGGCUAACACCACACGUUUGACGGGGCUGCGGCCCUACUGGGCUUCUGUGAGACACUCCGUCUUCUCUUCUUUCAAGCUCUCGGAGGCCCUGAAUCCGGGGCUCAGGAUGCUUCCUCAUCUUCAGAGCUGGCCGUGUCCCAUCUCUCUGACCUUCUGUGGUCACAUCUCCCCCGACUCACUUUUCCUGCCACCGAGUCCACUUCUAAGGACACUUCUGGUGACCCUGGGUCCCCCUAGAUAAGCCAACAUCGUCCCCCUACCUCAAGGUCAGCCAGUUAGCAGCCUUAAUUCCACUGGCAACCUGAGCUUCCCUGUGCUGUGGGAGGUAGGCUGGCCCAGUUUCCAGGCAUCGCGGUGGGGCAGCUUGGGUCGGGGAGGAGGGGAAUGUUUCGUCGCUCCCACACGUGGAGGCACCACGCCUCUGUCAUGAGCAUCUGCCCUUUGCUUCCGUCACGGCCUCACCGCAGGCUGGUCUGCACCAUUGCCUGCUCACGGAUGUAUGCUCCACUUACUUGCUUCUUGAAGGCAAGGACCAUGCUUUAAACACAUCCUGCAUCUGAGGUGACGUCUCGAUACUGGCACGAAGGCUUCUCUGAUGGUUGCAGUCUGCCCUUUCUGUGAUUGUCUUGCAACCAGAGAGUCCCUUCACACGAUGACCAUAUGAUCAUCACAAAGCCAUCAUCAAGGACACAAAGUCACAAAUAUCUUAAGUUAUCAACACCUAUCAAAGAUUCUGAGGAAUGCUACCGUUCUAUACAAUCUCAAAAAAUGAAGCCAGUGAUUUCAAGGCUAACAAGUUCAGACUCACUUUAACAAACCAACUUAACUGUAGCAACAGAUCCAUGAUAGAGGAAUCUUUUCACACUUUUCCUACAAAUCUUGGUUUAAAAAAGGUGUAAAGCUUAAGAUUUGGUAGUGUGGGAUAGUUACGGAGAAUUUCUUCCUAUUAUUCUCUAUACUUUUGUGUUUAUUUUAUAAUUUUAAAAUAUAUAUAUAUUUCAGGAGCGCUUAGAAGUAAUACAAUUAGCUUUGAGUUUAACAACUGAGAAGUCCCCCAAAAAAGCUCACGGAGAAUGAUCAACAUUAAGAAACAACCAUAGUAAAGUAGCUGGAAUUUGGGAAAGAACUCUUUGAGUAUCCAAAGUACAUGGACAAGAAGCACACGUUAGAUGAAUCUCUCUGUGAAGAAACUGCCAGGCCAGCCUCAACUUCUCCCAAAGUCAAAAGUGACUCAGGAGACAGGUGACAGUGCCCGUGAUGGCUUAGUGACACAGGAGAAGGCCCGAGACUGACACGUCAACUGAAUUCUCACAUAGGAGUCAACAGCAAGAGCACAGAACAUGAAGGGACUCAGCUCCCGUGACCCUGGACUAAGGACACCACUGAAGGCUGGACUCGGGCCGAAAGCCGGCAGUGAGCACCGAGCCCAGCAAACUGCAGGAGCGGGAGUUUACAUGCGGGUCGAAAACAGUGAAUUCAUGAAUCUUGUCCGUGGAAGUAAUGCCACAAACAGUGUGAGAAGAAAAAAAGAAGAAAGUACAAAUAAAGCAUAAAUUUGCUAGUUUCA
rnacentral:lncRNA from 1 species